rnacentral:rRNA from 1 species
AGCGAACGCUGGCGGCAGGCCUAACACAUGCAAGUCGAACGAACCUUUCGGGGUUAGUGGCGGACGGGUGAGUAACACGUGGGAACGUGCCUUUAGGUUCGGAAUAACUCAGGGAAACUUGUGCUAAUACCGAAUGUGCCCUUCGGGGGAAAGAUUUAUCGCCUUUAGAGCGGCCCGCGUCUGAUUAGCUAGUUGGUUGAGGUAAUGGCUCACCAAGGCGACGAUCAGUAGCUGGUCUGAGAGGAUGAUCAGCCACAUUGGGACUGAGACACGGCCCAAACUCCUACGGGAGGCAGCAGUGGGGAAUCUUGCGCAAUGGGCGAAAGCCUGGCGCAGCCAUGCCGCGUGAAUGAUGAAGGUCUUAGGAUUGUAAAAUUCUUUCACCGGGGACGAUAAUGACGGUACCCGGAGAAGAAGCCCCGGCUAACUUCGUG